rnacentral:rRNA from 1 species
CGGGAAGAGCUCAACAUUGUAAUCUGGCUGCUUCGCAGUCCGAGUUGUAGUCUAUAGAAGCAUGAUCCGCGCCGGCCCUUGGGCAUGUCUGUUGGAACGCAGUGUCAAAGAGGGUGAAAAUCCCGUACAUACCAAGGACGACCGUGUGCAUUGUGGUCUGCUCUCUAA